AUUGAACGCUGGCGGCGUGCCUAAUACAUGCAAGUCGAGCGGAAUGAUGAAGAAGCUUGCUUCUUCUGAUUUUAGCGGCGGACGGGUGAGUAACACGUGGGCAACCUACCUUGUAGAUUGGGAUAACUCCGGGAAACCGGGGCUAAUACCGAAUAAUCCAUUUUGCUUCAUGGCGAGAUGUUGAAAGACGGUUUCGGCUGUCACUACAAGAUGGGCCCGCGGCGCAUUAGCUAGUUGGUAGGGUAAUGGCCUACCAAGGCGACGAUGCGUAGCCGACCUGAGAGGGUGAUCGGCCACACUGGGACUGAGACACGGCCCAGACUCCUACGGGAGGCAGCAGUAGGGAAUCUUCCACAAUGGACGAAAGUCUGAUGGAGCAACGCCGCGUGAGUGAAGAAGGUUUUCGGAUCGUAAAACUCUGUUGUAAGGGAAGAACACGUACGAGAGUAACUGCUCGUACCUUGACGGUACCUUAUUAGAAAGCCACGGCUAACUACGUG
rnacentral:rRNA from 1 species